CUGGUUAUGGGUGUAGAGGAAUGGUGUUCGCACCGCUCUCACUUUAAACUUGCUGCACGACCGCAAGCUAAUGCUAGGUAAUGGAGUGGUAUUUAUAAUAUUCCAGCAACUGUUCAGUAGCUUAUGGCGUUAAAAUUGAUGUCGUCUAACCGCGACUGAAGUUUGACCUCAAAUCAGACAAGGAUACCCGCUGAACUUAA
rnacentral:misc_RNA from 1 species